rnacentral:rRNA from 1 species
UACAGAGGGGGCAAGCGUUGUUCGGAAUUACUGGGCGUAAAGGGCGCGUAGGCGGCCUGCUAAGUCGAACGUGAAAUCCCCGGGCUCAACCCGGGAACUGCGUCCGAUACUGGUAGGCUUGAAUUCGGGAGAGGGAUGCGGAAUUCCAGGUGUAGCGGUGAAAUGCGUAGAUAUCUGGAGGAACACCAAUGGCGAAGGCAGCUGACUGGGACGUGACUGACGCUGAGACGCGAAGGCGUGGGGAGCAAACAGG